GGAGAUAUUGGAGCUUGCUCCAUUAUGCUUAGCGGCGGACGGGUGAGUAACACGUGGGCAACCUGCCCUGCAGAUCGGGAUAACUCCGGGAAACCGGUGCUAAUACCGAAUAGUUUGCGGCCUCUCAUGAGGCGGCACGGAAAGACGGUUUCGGCUGUCACUGCAGGAUGGGCCCGCGGCGCAUUAGCUAGUUGGUGAGGUAACGGCUCACCAAGGCCACGAUGCGUAGCCGACCUGAGAGGGUGAUCGGCCACACUGGGACUGAGACACGGCCCAGACUCCUACGGGAGGCAGCAGUAGGGAAUCUUCCGCAAUGGACGAAAGUCUGACGGAGCAACGCCGCGUGAGUGAAGAAGGUUUUCGGAUCGUAAAACUCUGUUGUGAGGGAAGAACAAGUACCAACUAACUACUGGUACCUUGACGGUACCUCACCAGAAAGCCACGGCUAACUACGUGCCAGCAGCCGCGGUAAUACGUAGGUGGCAAGCGUUGUCCGGAAUUAUUGGGCGUAAAGCGCGCGCAGGCGGUCCUUUAAGUCUGAUGUGAAAGCCCACGGCUCAACCGUGGAGGGUCAUUGGAAACUGGGGGACUUGAGUGC
rnacentral:rRNA from 1 species